CGCUCAACAGCUAGCCCCCCCCCCAAUUUCAACCAACCCCUAUUAAUACCCCUAAAUACCCCCAUUUUAUUUUAACAAAACAUUUUUCCCUCUUAGUAUAGGUGACAGAAAAGAAACUUCCGGCGCAAUAGAAAAAGUACCGUAAGGGAAUGCUGAAAAAGAAAUGAAAAAACUCAGUAAAGCCUCAAAAAGCAGAGUUUAACCCUUGUACCUUUUGCAUCAUGAUUUAGUGAGUGUUCUCCAAGCAAAGCGUACUUUAGUUUGAUACCCCGAAACUACGUGAGCUACUUCAAGACAGCCUAUUAAUAGGGCAAACCCAUCUCUGUGGCAAAAGCGUGGGGAGAACUUUGAGUAGAGGUGACAAACCUACCGAACCUAGUUAUAGCUGGUUGUCCAAGAAAUGAAUAGAAGUUCAGCCUCUAAGCUUCUCUUUUCACCUGGGUUUAACUCCUUUAGAUGUAUUAAAGAAACUAAGAAAGUUAGUCAAAGGGGGUACAGCUCCUUUGAAUCAAGACACAACUUUAAACAGGCGGGUAAUGUUCAUG
rnacentral:rRNA from 1 species